GGUGGCUCAGUGAUAGAGCACGUGCCUUGCAUGCAAGAGGCCCUGGGUUCAAUUCCUCAGCACCA
rnacentral:tRNA from 1 species